ACAUGCUUAUAGCAUAGAAUUAAUGUAUUGGAUCCCAUUAAAACUCCACAAUGAAGCGUGCUUACGCUAGAGUAGUACUCGGAUGGGUGACCACUUGGGAAAUCCUAGCAUUUUACAUGCC
rnacentral:rRNA from 1 species